GACUAACCUUCCCAUUCUUUGAUAUUGAUAUUCUUUACUAUGAGGUCCUUUCUUCAAAACCUCACACAUAUUUUAUCCACAUUAGUUCACAAAAAAGGGAAAAAAGAAAAAGAAAAAAAGAUCAGCCACACAAAAUCGUUCAUAAACUGCUUAUAGCAGCUGCGCAGGUCAACAACGGUGUUCCAUCCCAAAUAUUUAGUGCAAUUUUCGAUUCUUUACCAUUUGCAAAUGAGUUCAACUACGUCUCUCAAUUUUGCCUUCAUCUCUUGACGAAAUUCUGCACAUUCUUCCAGCAGCCCCCACCAUUCUAGUUGCCUGUAUUGACUAACCUUCCCAUUCUUUGAUAUUGAUAUUCUUUACUAUGAGGUCCUUUCUUCAAAACCGCACACAUAUUUUAUCCACAUUAGUUCACAAAAAAGGGAAAAAAGAAAAAGAAAAAAAGAUCAGCCACACAAAAUCGUUCAUAAACUGCUUAUAGCAGCUGCGCAGGUCAACAACGGUGUUCCAUCCCAAAUAUUUAGUGCAAUUUUCGAUUCUUUACCAUUUGCAAAUGAGUUCAACUACGUCUCUCAAUUUUGCCUUCAUCUCUUUACCAAAUUCUGCACAUUCUUCCAGCAGCCCCACCAUUCUCGUUGCCUAUAUUGACUAACCUUCCCAUUCUUUGAUAUUGAUAUUCUUUACUAUGAGGUCCUUUCUUCAAAACCUCACUCAUAUUUUAUCCACAUUAGUUCACAAAAAAGGGAAAAAAGAAAAAGAAAAAAAGAUCAGCCACACAAAAUCGUCCAUAAACUGCUUAUAGCAGCUGCGCAGGUCAACAACGGUGUUCCAUCACAAAUAUUUAGUGGCAUAUUAAAAAAUUAUAUUAAAAAAUGCAUGGUACGCAGAAGAAAAUGUUUCAGCUUACCUAUUUAGUUAGAAUUUUGCAGCUAAAUUGCAUAUUACGCCCUUGUUUCG
rnacentral:lncRNA from 1 species